rnacentral:rRNA from 1 species
UAGGGAAUUUUGGGCAAUGGGCGAAAGCCUGACCCAGCAACGCCGCGUGAAGGAUGAAGUAUUUCGGUAUGUAAACUUCGAAAGAAUAGGAAGAAUAAAUGACGGUACUAUUUAUAAGGUCCGGCUAACUACGUGCCAGCAGCCGCGGUAAUACGUAGGGACCAAGCGUUGUUCGGAUUUACUGGGCGUAAAGGGCGCGUAGGCGGCAAUUCAAGUCAUCUGUGAAAUCUCCGGGCUUAACUCGUAACGGUCAGAUGAUACUGCUUUGCUAGAGUGCAGAAGGGGCAAUCGGAAUUCUUGGUGUAGCGGUGAAAUGCGUAGAUAUCAAGAGGAACACCUGAGGUGAAGACGGGUUGCUGGGCUGACACUGACGCUGAGGCGCGAAAGCCAGGGGAGCAAACGGGAUUAGAUACCCCCGUAGUCCCUGAGCGGGCUGGCAAGGCGCAU